AGCUGCCCAUGAGUCCUGAGCCCAGUUCAAGAAGCCAUGGCUGGGACUGGGUGUGGGCAGACAGAAGAAGAGGAAGCUUCCAGGAAGAGAAUAGUGGGAUGAGUGAAGGAUGGAAGCUGGGAUGAGCCCUUCCUGAAGGCUGUGUGUGAGAGGCAGCGGCUGCAUCCAAAUGGCAGGAGUGGCUGCAUUCAGAGCAGAGAUCAUCUUCCCUGCACCACCAGCAAAUUAAUCUUUGGAUGCUUGAAGAUGGGCACCCAGAGAAUGAGAUCCUUUACCACCAUGCCUUCCCAGUGAUCUGUUGCUCUGAUGAUCGUACUAGUGAAGAAUAACU